UUCACUAUAGACAUUAACGGCCCAAUUGAACAUGAACUGUUUAAAUGUAGCUGUAUAUUCAAAAGGGGGUGAUUUAGUUUUACAACUCCAAGAUGACAGAAAAGCAACAUUAAGAAUCCAAACAGAACAUGAGUCUAAGAUACAGUACCUCAAAACAGAAAACCUUGAACCAAACCCAGUUGAAUAACAUUGUCAGUAGUUAUCAAAAGGAAAAAAAGAAAAGGAAAUAGGGAUCUAGUUUUCAGCCUAUCAACUAAUGUAACUAAUGCAGACACAGUGUCCGAACCUCUUACAAAAA